GCGGGAGGCCCUGGCUCGAGUCAGUAAUAAAUUCCCCUAUUGCGAGUUGCAUUGUUUCGAGGAGUCUUCUUUCCCGACCGGGGACUCGGACUACGGGCAGAACAUUUGGGGGUUCGUCCGGGAUCCCUUGACCGGGGAAGAACGCUCUUUGGAACAAAGGGGAAAAAAAGAUAGGGAAUAGCACCGGUGCUCAGGCAGGUUUAGAAAAAGACCAGAGUAAAGCCGAGGCCCUGCUAUGAAGCGGGAAGGUGUCUGGCGCAGAAAAAGACCAGAGUAAACCCGAGGCCCUGCUGUGAAGCGGGAAGGUGUCUGGCGUUAGGGAAAGCUUUCCAUGAGGGAACGGACUGGCUGUUCCUGCUGGCGUGAGGCCGCGGCCAGCGAGCGCGCUGGGAGGCAGCCAGCUCUGCGGGAAGGAGACCUCCUCUCCUAAGCCCGAAUCUGGAGAACAGUGGACGCCAUACGCUGUUGCAGGUGCUCUUCAACACGGAAGAAUGGGAGCAAAUCCUGGCAGAGGCACGGAAACGGGUCCCGCGGGUCGACGGGAGACUAACCGCCCAGCCUCAUCUCGUGGACGAGGGGUUUCCUCUGUUGCGGCCUAACUGGGAUUUUGAGCGAGUGGAAGGUCGACGGGAUCGGGCCCUAGGUUCACUGCAAUCACGUGCGGCAAGCCACCCCAGAAGAACAGGAGAAGAUGCAAGCAGAAUGGGAGGCAAGACCUCACCCGUCAAAUCUUUUGAAACUGAAACUCGUACGACGGGAGCCCUCUUAACUCUCCUGCUGAUAACAGUUUUCGUUGGCCCAGGAGGAACCAGCCACAACCCCCAUCAGCCAGCUAACCUGACUUGGGUAAUCUACAAUCCUGAGACUGGAGAAAUGCUUAAUUCAAGCUCCAACGUGGCCCCAAAGGGACAUGGUGGCCAGUACUGACCUUUGAUUUGUGCGUGCUGGUGGCUGACGGUAAUGGGUUUGGUCCCCACCAACUGACCAAGUUCUUUGCCCAUGGCUCUUUCAGUCUGUUCACCUGUAACUGUGAGUGAAAAGGCCCAAAGUACUACGAACAGGUGCCUGUCUGUGUCUGCCUGGGGGAGAAGAAGGGAUCAGAACCAAAAUGAAAAAUGUGGGGAAAUUGACUCUUUUUAUUGCGCCGCUUGGGGUUGCAAAACCAAGGGAACAGUCCAUUUCGCACCUCCAAGAAUCCUUGAGCUCCUUGGCUGAAGUAAUGUUACAGAAUAGGAGAGGUUUAGAUUUGCUGUUUCUGCAACAAGGAAGAUUAUGUGCAGCACUGAGAAAAGAAUGCUGUUUCUAUAUUCAGGGGUGGUACAAAAAUCUCUCUAAAACGUAAGAGAGGGACUAGCCCAGUGGAAGAGAGAACGAGAAGCCCAACAAGGCUGGUUUAAAUCUUGGUUUCAGCGCUCCCCCUGGUUGACCACUUUGAUUUCCACCCUCCUGGGUCCACUCAUAGUAUUAAUAUUGUUACUGACUUUUGGUCCAUGCAUUUUAAACCAUCUGGUCUCAUUUAUUAGGGAGCGCCUAAAUAUCAUCCAAAUUAAGGUAUUGAGACAACAAUAUCAGUCAAUUUCACAGAGUAAAGAGGAAGAU